UCCUGCCCGAUUAAAACAUAAACAUUGCAAAUAACACCAGAAAUAACAGUUAAUUUACGUACACAUAUCAUAAAAAUUAUCGUGCGUGACUGAUACGCUGUAAAGCGGGUGAAUUUAAAACAUGAUUUUGAAUGGAAGUCAAUGACGCUCUCUGCUGGUUGGGUAUACCAAGAUGGCGGCUCGAACUCUGCGCAAGCUUCACCUCACGCUGUUACGUUAAGCGUUCUAUGCGCAAUCCAGUCAUUUAUAUAGAUCAGUGGUUCAAACCCAUGACCUUUAGUGUUGCAAUGCAAUGCUCUAACCUGAGCUAUCUGUGUGUUACAUCUCAAGAUAUAAUAAGAGGACAUUUUCUAUAUGCUGUACUAGCUGAGUAAAUGAUAAUUCACUGCUAAGUUGACAAAGUUAUAAAUAGCUAUUAUGUCUGGAAAUAUUUGCAAUAAAUGUGAAGAAGAACAUUUUUUUUCCUUUAACUGAUCUCCGCAGGUGUCUGUUUGGCAUGGUGACUAUGUUUAGCAGCUGUUUUGCUGACAGAUGCUGGAACAAACUAAAACAGACAGAUGCCUUUUUACUCUAAUAUACAUCACCAAGGGGAAAACAAGACAAUCCCUUCUUCCAUUUCAUGGCGAGUUUAAAGGUGGAAAAUUAAAGAACGCGACACGCGUAAUUCAACAAAUCAGAGGACGACUUCAAAGCUGCUGAAGUGUUUCCAGUUAAGUGUGCCGUAUGCAUCAGACAUUCAGCCAACCAUCUGUUUACGUGAUGUCUGAGGCUGAGACUAAGUAUGUAGUACAAUAAUUACUGUACUCAGUCAUGUUUGUAGAACUGCUCUACUUUUCAUUGUCUUGAUAGCUCAUUUUGCAGAAAUAAAUUGCAGAACGUAUGCGCCCCACAUAAAGAACCAAAUGAGCAAGAACUCGCUAAUCAUAAACAGGGUUCAUUUCCAUAAAA